GACGAACGCUGGCGGCGUGCUUAACACAUGCAAGUCGAACGGGUCUGCCCUGUUUUUUGCGGGGUGGGUCAGUGGCGAACGGGUGAGUAACACGUGAGUAACCUGCCCCUCACUUCUGGAUAACCGCUUGAAAGGGUGGCUAAUACGGGGUGUUCUGGCUGUGCCGCAUGGUGUGGCUGGGAAAGAUUCACUUUUGUGGUGUUUUGGUGGGGGAUGGGCUCGCGGCCUAUCAGCUUGUUGGUGGGGUGAUGCCUGCCAAGGCUUUGACGGGUAGCCGGCCUGAGAGGGUGGGCGGUGAUACGGGGACUGAGAUACGGCCCAGACUCCUGCGGGAGGCAGCAGUGGGGGGUAUUGCACAAUGGGCGGAAGCCUGAUGCAGCGACGUCGCGUGAGGGAUGGAGGCCUUCGGGUUGUGAACCUCUUUCGCCGGUGAAGAAGGUCCUGCUCUUUGUGGUGGGGUUGACGGUAGCCGGGUUAUGAAGCGCCGGCUAACUACGUG
rnacentral:rRNA from 1 species